AAUUUAAUAUGACAAUGUCUCAUUGCAAGUCACGUAAAUAAAAGUUUGUAAUUUCCGCGUAAAUUUCCUAGAUUUAAUCGCGAAAGAUGCGCUCGUGCAAUGAUGGAUUGUAUAAGUUUAUCUUUGCGCGCGAAUAAAGGAUUAAUUUUAUUGCUGCACAGCUCGUAAUUCUCGGUGUACCUGUGUACGUUCUUAUAGUCGAAUAAUAUCUGACUACGAGCGAAUGCCACGUAUACACUGGCGGAAACUUCCAGCUCUGUCCUUGUUUCCACGUUCGUCGACUAAAUUGCAAUUACUGCUAAUUAAUUGAGCAAAGAUUUGCCUAGCUGCCAGCGGACAAAGCAAGGCGCGACUACACCAACGAAGAAAUUCUAGAUCAGCACGUCGCAAUUGUAAUUCCAGUGAACUUGCGAAAGAAAAAGAAGGGGAGAAAAAAAAAUUCAGGUGAUAUCAAACAAAGCAGCCAUGAGACUGACGCUGUUAUAAUAGAGUUACAACUACAGCAUUGUAUCGCAUCGGUGAAUGCCAUAUUACCUUUUAUUUUAAUCCGAGAUAAUAGAUCUGCGAAUAUAUACAUUCACAGUUAAAUACAACAUGCAUAUGUCAUAUGUAUGUACAUACAUACAUACAUAUAUACUAAAAUAGAUAGGUUAGGACAGAUUAAUGCAAAUGUUUAAAUCAGCCUAGGAUAUAGCGUAACCGUCCGUUGAUCUAUUGUGCAUACAAGAAUACACAUAUUCAAAGCUGAUAGAAUAUAGGUAAUUGUUAUUAACGCAUUAUUGAUCGGUUAGCCAUUUACUAGCGCUUUUGGUGUCAUAAUAUACAACAAAACAGUAAUUUCAUGGCGUGCAAAUUGUUCGAAUUCGUUGUUUAUAGAAAAUUUAUACUAGUAUUGCGUAAAUAAAAAAGAAAUAAGAAAUAGGAAGUAA